AUUGAACGCUGGCGGCAUGCUUUACACAUGCAAGUCGAACGGCAGCACAGGGAGCUUGCUCCCGGGUGGCGAGUGGCGCACGGGUGAGUAAUACAUCGGAACGUGUCCUGUUGUGGGGGAUAACUGCUCGAAAGGGUGGCUAAUACCGCAUGAGACCUGAGGGUGAAAGCGGGGGAUCGCAAGACCUCGCGCAAUUGGAGCGGCCGAUGCCCGAUUAGCUAGUUGGUGAGGUAAAGGCUCACCAAGGCGACGAUCGGUAGCUGGUCUGAGAGGACGACCAGCCACACUGGGACUGAGACACGGCCCAGACUCCUACGGGAGGCAGCAGUGGGGAAUUUUGGACAAAUGGGGGGCAACCCUGAUCCAGCCAUGCCGCGUGCAGGAUGAAGGCCUCGGUUGU
rnacentral:rRNA from 1 species